rnacentral:rRNA from 1 species
GAUGAACGCUGGCGGUAUGCUUAACACAUGCAAGUCGAACGGGAUGCUUUCGGGCAUCUAGUGGCGGACGGGUGAGUAACGCGUGAGAAUCUGCCCUUUGGACGGGGACAACGACUGGAAACGGUCGCUAAUACCGGAUGAGCCGUAAGGUAAAAGGAUUUAUCGCCAAAGGAUGAGCUCGCGUCGGAUUAGCUAGUUGGUAGUGUAAUGGACUACCAAGGCGACGAUCCGUAGCUGGUCUGAGAGGAUGACCAGCCACACUGGGACUGAGACACGGCCCAGACUCCUACGGGAGGCAGCAGUGGGGAAUCUUGCGCAAUGGGCGAAAGCCUGACGCAGCGACGCCGCGUGAGCGAUGAA